GACGAACGCUGGCGGCGUGCCUAACACAUGCAAGUCGAACGGAGUAAAGCCCUUCGGGACUUUACUUAGUGGCGAACGGGUGAGUAACGCGUGAGGAACCUGCCUUCCAGUGGGGGACAACAGUUAGAAAUGACUGCUAAUACCGCAUAAGCGCACAGUACCACAUGGUACGGUGUGAAAAACUCCGGUGGUAUGAGAUGGACCCGNGUCUGAUUAGCUGGUUGGUGGGUAACGGCCCACCAAGGCAACGAUCGGUAGCCGGACUGAGAGGUUGAACGGCCACGAUUGGGACUGAGACACGGCCCAGACUCCUACGGGAGCAGCAGUGGGAAUAUUGCACAAUGGGGGGAAACCCUGAUGCAGCGACGUCCGCGUGGAGGAAGAAGGUCUUCGGAUUGUAAACUCCUGUUGUUGAGGAAGAUAAUGACGGUACUCAACAAGGAAGUGACGGCUAACUACGUG
rnacentral:rRNA from 1 species